rnacentral:rRNA from 1 species
GACGUAGGAGGCGAGCGUUGUCCGGAUUCAUUGGGCGUAAAGAGCGCGCAGGCGGCUUGGUAAGUCGGAUGUGAAAUCCCGAGGCUCAACCUCGGGUCUGCAUCCGAUACUGCCCGGCUAGAGGUAGGUAGGGGAGAUCGGAAUUCCUGUGUAGCGGUGAAAUGCGCAGAUAUCAGGAGGAACACCGGUGGCGAAGGCGGAUCUCUGGGCCUUACCUGACGCUCAGGCGCGAAAGCUAGGGGAGCGAACUGG